UUGAACGCUGGCGGCAUGCUUUACACAUGCAAGUCGAACGGUAACAGGCCUUCGGGUGCUGACGAGUGGCGAACGGGUGAGUAAUGCAUCGGAACGUGCCCAGAGGUUGGGGAUAACGCAGCGAAAGCUGUGCUAAUACCGCAUGUGAUCUGAGGAUGAAAGCGGGGGACCAGGCAGCAAUGUUUGGCCUCGCGCCUUUGGAGCGGCCGAUGUCAGAUUAGGUAGUUGGUGGGGUAAAGGCCUACCAAGCCGACGAUCUGUAGCUGUUCUGAGAGGACGACCAGCCACACUGGGACUGAGACACGGCCCAGACUCCUACGGGAGGCAGCAGUGGGGAAUUUUGGACAAUGGGCGCAAGCCUGAUCCAGCAAUGCCGCGUGCGGGAAGAAGGCCUUCGGGUUGUAAACCGCUUUUGUACGGAACGAAAAGGCUCUGGCUAAUACCUGGGGCUGAUGACGGUACCGUAAGAAUAAGCACCGGCUAACUACGUG
rnacentral:rRNA from 1 species